rnacentral:rRNA from 1 species
UACGUAGGGUCCGAGCGUUGUCCGGAAUUAUUGGGCGUAAAGGGCUCGUAGGCGGUUUGUCGCGUCGGGAGUGAAAACACGGGGCUUAACCCCGUGCCUGCUUCCGAUACGGGCAGACUAGAGGUAUGCAGGGGAGAACGGAAUUCCUGGUGUAGCGGUGAAAUGCGCAGAUAUCAGGAGGAACACCAGUGGCGAAGGCGACUACCUGGCCUGUUCUUGACGCUGAGGCGCGAAAGCUAGGGUAGCAAACGGG